rnacentral:rRNA from 1 species
AUACGGAGGGUGCAAGCGUUAAUCGGAAUUACUGGGCGUAAAGGGUUCGUAGGCGGUUAUUUAAGUCGGAUGUGAAAGCCCCGGGCUCAGCCUGGGAAUUGCAUCUGAUACUGGGUAACUAGAGUUUAAGAGAGGAGUGUGGAAUUUCCGGUGUAGCGGUGAAAUGCAUAGAGAUCGGAAGGAACAUCAGUGGCGAAGGCGGCACUCUGGCUUAAAACUGACGCUGAGGAACGAAAGCGUGGGUAGCAAACAGGAUUAGAUACCCUAGUAGUCC